AUCUUUGCGCAGAGGCAAUAUCGUAACCAAUGAGGUUAAUCCGAGGUGCGAUUAUUGCUAAUUGAAAACUUUAUUAAAAUAAAAAGGUUUGUUUAUCCCAAUUCUUGCAAUUGGCAUAGAAUACAGAUAUGGUUAGCGUUGCUA